GAUGAACGCUAGCGGGAGGCCUAACACAUGCAAGCCGAGCGGUAGAGAUUCUUCGGAAUCUUGAGAGCGGCGUACGGGUGCGGAACACGUGUGCAACCUACCUUUAUCUGGAGGAUAGCCUUUCGAAAGGAAGAUUAAUACUCCAUAAUAUAUUGAUUGGCAUCAAUUGAUAUUGAAAGCUCCGGCGGAUAGAGAUGGGCACGCGCAAGAUUAGUUAGUUGGUGAGGUAACGGCUCACCAAGACGAUGAUCUUUAGGGGCCUGAGAGGGUGAUCCCCCACACUGGUACUGAGACACGGACCAGACUCCUACGGGAGGCAGCAGUGAGGAAUAUUGGUCAAUGGGUGCAAGCCUGAACCAGCCAUCCCGCGUGAAGGACGACUGCCCUAUGGGUUGUAAACUUCUUUUGUAUAGGGAUAAACCUACCCUCGUGAGGGUAGCUGAAGGUACUAUACGAAUAAGCACCGGCUAACUCCGUGCCAGCAGCCGCGGUAAU
rnacentral:rRNA from 1 species